ACGCUCGACACCUACGGUAGGCAGCAGUGGGGAAUAUUGCACAAUGGGGGAAACCCUGAUGCAGCGACGCCGCGUGGAGGAAGAAGGUCUUCGGAUUGUAAACUCCUGUUGUUGGGGAAAAAGAGGAUGGUACCCAACAAGGAAGUGACGGCUAACUACGUGCCAGCAGCCACGGUAAUCUGAGCGGGCUGGCAAGGC
rnacentral:rRNA from 1 species